GGAAUUUGCAUUGGUUCUUCCGUCGUACCCAAGGUCAGCAAGAUUUACAUUUCCGCAUUUUCCCGAUCACUAUCGUCGUUUUCCAAGACGUGCCGUCCUACGUUGUGUUGGGGGCAUGACCGUACUGACCCGAAACCCCUGCUCUCAAGGUGGAGCUGUCAUCCCAAAUCCGUAAAGUCAGGUAUAAUCAAGGUAUUUCGCAUCGGGUGUGAAAAUUGGCAACUACGCAGGGACACCAUGUUCACAACAAGCUGUCCACCCUCACAUCCUUCCGAUCAAAGUCAAAUGAAGUCAAAUCUGGUGAAAGUCAGCGGUGCAACACGUCCCACAAAAAGAAGUUCGCAGGGUGCAGCUGUCUUGCGUCUUCCUUGUACUUUUCCAGUUCGCGGAUUCCUACAUUGGGUAGACCCGCAGGUUCCUGAAAGAUAGGCUUCGGGAACACGCUAACAAUGCCAUAAGUCAAUCAAGUACUUCUGAAC